rnacentral:rRNA from 1 species
UACGGAGGAUGCAAGCGUUACCCGGAAUUAUUGGGCGUAAAGCGUCCGCAGGUGGCACUUCAAGUCUGUCGUCAAAGACCGGGGCUUAACCCUGGAAAGGCGAUGGAAACUGAAAGGCUAGAGAGAGGUAGGGGUAGAGGGAAUUCCCAGUGUAGCGGUGAAAUGCGUAGAGAUUGGGAAGAACAUCGGUGGCGAAAGCGCUCUACUGGACCUCAUCUGACACUCAGGGACGAAAGCUAGGGGAGCGAAUGGG